CUGCAACUUGACAUCCACCUGGCUUAGACGUUCCUUAUACAAUCUAGAGAACAUUUGAAAGAAAAGUAUUUGAAACUGAAGUAGAGUUAAUAAUGUUGUGUGCACAGUGCAAAGAAAUGUGUAAUAAUAUGGUUUUGAUUGUGUCCUCAAGUCAUUCCUGACAUUGAGAGAGAGAGGAGACUUACUGCUCCUUCAAGUCUGUGAACUGUUUCUCCAGAGUGGUCAUCUCGUCCAGGCACUCCAUCCUUCUCCUCUCACAGUCUUCAUCAUCCAUCUCUGGUCACAUGCGAAGGACAUGAUUUUGGAUAUUUUAAUAAUAAGGAUUUAAACAGAUUUCGAACUCAAGGGCUAAAUGCUACAUUAAUGACUAAGUGAGGAUGGUAUUGAGUGAAUUUAACAGUAGGAUCAUUUUAGGCCUGUUCUCCUACCCGAGCUGUCUCCAUCUUCAGACACCGACGUGCUAACGGUGUCCUCCUCGUCAGUGCUGCUACCGUCUUGCUCCGGAAAAUCCACCUCCAUUUCCUCGUGGUUACUUUCUUUCUUUUCCCGGGAGUGAACCGGCAUUACGACUUACAAUGGAUUGCAAAUCUUCUUGUUAGUUCCAACACCAGUGAGAAGCGAUGUUGUAAUUCAGUUCGCUAACCGGUUAGCGACACCGCACCAAGACAGCUGGGAACGCAAACAUGGCUCCCGUUGACCAAUGAGAGGAGUUUUUACUCAGACUGUCCAAUCAAAUGUUGGUAAUGCGGAAAUAGCAGGAACGAGGUGUGAUCUGGGAUUUGUAGUUUCACAUACUGUCAAGUUUGCGAGAACACUCCUCGAUUUAUUGAUUAAGUUGAUUAAUAUUCUAAUGUGUGCACAACAUAUCUUGAUUAUGCAUUUAACGUAAUUUGAACAAAAAUUUGAAGGG